GCCGACGUAGCUCAGUGGUAGAGCAACUGAUUCGUAAUCAGUAGGUCGCAAGUUCGAUCCUCGCCGUCGGCACCA
rnacentral:tRNA from 1 species